UUUUAAAUAGUGUAACAAACACUUAACAUUUUCAUUGUUAAAAUUCCUUAGGAUUUAACUC
rnacentral:tRNA from 1 species